GAGGAUUAGCUCAGCUGGGAGAGCACCUGCCUUACAAGCAGGGGGUCGGCGGUUCGAUCCCGUCAUCCUCCACCA
rnacentral:tRNA from 6 species